rnacentral:rRNA from 1 species
GGCCGCAAGGUUAAAACUCAAAUGAAUUGACGGGGGCCCGCACAAGCGGUGGAGCAUGUGGUUUAAUUCGAUGCAACGCGAAGAACCUUACCUGGUCUUGACAUCCACAGAACUUUCCAGAGAUGGACUGGUGCCUUCGGGAACUGUGAGACAGGUGCUGCAUGGCUGUCGUCAGCUCGUGUUGUGAAAUGUUGGGUUAAGUCCCGCAACGAGCGCAACCCUUAUCCUUUGUUGCCAGCGGUUAGGCCGGGAACUCAAAGGAGACUGCCAGUGAUAAACUGGAGGAAGGUGGGGAUGACGUCAAGUCAUCAUGGCCCUUACGACCAGGGCUACACACGUGCUACAAUGGCGCAUACAAAGAGAAGCGACCUCGCGAGAGCAAGCGGACCUCAUAAAGUGCGUCGUAGUCCGGAUUGGAGUCUGCAACUCGACUCCAUGAAGUCGGAAUCGCUAGUAAUCGUGGAUCAGAAUGCCACGGUGAAUACGUUCCCGGGCCUUGUACACACCGCCCGUCACACCAUGGGAGUGGGUUGCAAAAGAAGUAGGUAGCUUAACCUUCGGGAGGGCGCUUACCACUUUGUGAUUCAUGACUGGGGUGAAGUCGUAACAAGGUAACCGUAGGGGAACCUGCGGUUGGAUCACCUCCUUACCUUAAAGAAGC